AGAACAUUGACGUCGAUGGGAGGUUUGGAUCCGAACAAAGCAUCUGCAAUAGUGAUGACACCUGGGUUCUGGCUACUGAGCGCGGCGAUGGCCACGACAGGAUCUUUUCCAAGGUUUAUCUGAAAGUGGAUGAGACCGAUAGGGAAGGUGAAGACAUCACCCUUUUUGAGAACUUUGGAAAUAAAUCGGUUUUCUGAGUUGGAGGUGACAAAUCCCACUCCCAAUGUCCCCUCGAGCACAGUCAGGAGCUCGGUCGCACGAGGAUGGGUGUGAGGAGGAUUCAAGCCCCCAGGUUGAAAGUCGAUGCGAACUAGGGAGAUUCCAAGAGUGUUAAGACCAGGGAUCUGUGCAACAUUUACUGGUGUAACAAUUGACCCGACCCGGCUUUUGCUGUUAUUUGCCUUGUCGAGACCAGAGAAGAAGAAGUCUUUCUCAGUGACGUACUUUGGGUUCUUGCACACUAAUCCAUUCACCAACACUGUACGUGUAUAUAUAUUGAAAAUUAAUAGAUGAGAAAAUUAUCCUAUAUAUAUGUCAAGAAAUAAAAUUUGUUCAUAUAUACUUAGUUACUUACCCUUGGAUGCAUGGUCAGCAACACAGAAAUCUUGAAGAGGGCUUGGAUCAGAAGCCAUGGCUGAAGAAGCAAUUGUCAUUGCCACAGCAAAAAUCAAAAUGACAAGUUUGGAAUCCAUUGUCAUAUAUCUUUCUAUCUGGUUUGAAAGUGCAUGUAACCUUGAUGGAUUAAUUGUAUUUAUAGAUGAAAACUGGGCAGAAUUAUCUUGAAGAGAUCAAAUCUAAUAUAGUAAGAUUUGGUCAAUUUGAAAAUUUACAAAGUUCUAAUUAUCUUGAAGUUUUCUUAUUUUCAUCAAUAACACAUGAAUCGUUGAAUAAUCAUUCAUUAUUAACAAGUUGGACAAAAAAGUACACGUUUUCUUUAUAUACAUUUUAAAAUAUAUUUUGACUUUUAAUUAUCUAUUCAAAUGAAAUUUAUUUUGACUUUUAAUGAAAUUUAUUUUGAUUAGAUAAUAAAAAGUCAAAAAAAAACAAAGUUAAAUCGAUUUAAAAAGCAUAGUUAAAAAAGUACAUUUUUGUUAGAGAUGAGAACAGGGCGGGUCGUCCCGUUCUGCGUCUCGGUGUUAACCGGUGUCAGGGAUGAAUUUCUACCCUAUUUUCAUAUAUUUGCCCCGUCGGUUUUUCGGGGCGAGUCUCAGGGCGAGGAAAAUCAUAAAAACCCUUUUGAUUUUGGCUCACCCUGUUAUGCUUCUUUUGAUUUUAAUUUUCAAGGCGAGUCUUGGAGCACCCUGAUGCGAUCACACUGAACCAGGGAAGGAUCGUGGAGGAUCUAGAAGCAAUGACAGGUAUGGACGUUAGUGAAAGUGUAGAGGAAGAAGAGGGAAUUCAUCAAUCUGAAUUUGAGGAGAAUCGCCCUAUCCGACUGAAGACCCGGCCCAAGAAGUAUCAAGGCUUUAUUACCAACUAUCGGCCCAAGAGUUAAUUAAAUCCAGAUUACCUUAUCUUUUAAAUUCGAUUUCUUUCUAUUUUUAUUUUAAUUAAUUGCUAUUUGUAAUUUCGUUAUUUUGGAAACUGUAUCCAUACAGUAUUUAAAUUGUUGUAAACACUUUUAUUUGGUAAUUAAUUAAAUAAUUUCCCUACUCCACCAUUUUCAUCGAACGUGAAAGUUGAGUACGAUUCCGCAACCAUCUCCGACGAUCAACUCCGUCUUGUAUAGCCAUAUAUAGUAGUUCUUCAAGGUAGCUUAACAGCAUUACCUUGAAUAGCUUAAGACUUGAUUUCAGGACCUUGUGUCCGCCGUCUCCGUCUCAUUUAUUCUUAGAUUUCGAUCUAAGAAUCCGAGACGCCAUCUCAUUCCAGGUUAAUUCUUUCUUGGCAUCCUUUAUCGAAUUUUAUCUAAGGGUGGCAAUAACAGACACGAUUCGUAAAAACACACGACACGACACGAUUUUAACACGACACGAAUACGACACAGGUUAAGUUCGAGCCCAGGAUCGCGGACUCGAGCUUGCGAGCCCGAGCUUGGAAAGUCUCUGACGAGCUGAGCCCGAGCCCAGAUGAUACCUUAACGAGCCGAGCCCGGCUCUAUAAGAAAAAGCUCGGCUCGUUUGAUACCCUAGUCGUAUCGACACGAAUUUCGUGUUGUGUCAUUCGUGUUGUGUCGACCCGGAUUCAGUCGUGUUCGUGUUAAAUUUUUUUUGACACGGGUAGUUUUCGUGUCGACGAAAAAAUUAGUCGUGUCAGUUGUGUCGUGUAAACACGAAUUGCCAUGCCUAAUUUUAUCCCCAUUAUUUAGUACUUUCAAUCCUGUACUCAUUUACCAGGAAAAAAAAUCAGCAAUGGAAAUUAUAAACAAUCGGGAUUUCCAAAGACUUCAAGCACUCCAAAUGGCUCAAGGGAAAGAACUCACAGAGUUUAGGGUGGUGAUAUCUAAAUCCAUAGGAGAUCUUGCUGCACAAAUCGUAAAUCUUUGUUCAAGGGAGAUAACAAAAAAGAAAAAUUAAGAACCAGAUCCAUCAGGUACAAAAAAAUGCAAGUUUAAUGAUCAAAGCUAUUUUUCUAUGGUAGAUCUAGAUAUGGCCGAUUAUGCAAAGAGUUCUAGAGAAAAUGAAGAAGAACCACAGAAGGUCGUGAAAGUCUUUAUGCCUAUGUUUGAUGGAACUGAGGCUGAAGAAUGGUUAUAUCAAGUCAGAAGAUUCUUCAUAUAUAACAGAACCCCAGAGGAUCAGAAGUUGCGUAUAGUCUCUUUUCAUGGAGAAGGAAUGGCUAGAAAGUGGUUUGCAUGGAUGGAAGCUAGUGGGUACUUGUCAGACUGGAAAACUUUUGUGAUAUCAGUUCAAAGAAAAUUAUGCAGUUCACAGUAUGUGCUACCAGGAGGUAAGCUGAGCAAAUUAUUACAGACAUCCUUAGUUGUUGAUUAUAUAACCAAAUUCGAAGAUAUGUGCACAAGGUGUUUGGGACUUCCAGAUUAUUUCAUACUCGAGAUGUUCAUAUCUGGCCUGAAAGAGGAUAUUCUAACAGUGGUAGUCAAAGUCAAACCCGAGGGUUUACAAGAGGCUUUUGAUGUAGCAUUACUAGUGGAAGAGCAAUCUGGACCUAGAUCUUAUGGAAUUAAAUCAUGGUUCAACAAACCUUAUAAACCAGCAUGGUCUGGAAAUAUUCAAAAUACAAUCACAAGUAAAGAUAGCCAACCAAGCAAUAAAACAACAGUUCCUACUACAACCUUCAGAAGAUUAUCUCAAGAAGAAAGGAAAGAAAGAACUACCAAGGGAUUAUGCUUCAAUUAUGACGAGAAAAUUACAAGAGGGCAUAAGUACAAAGGUAAAUUAUUCAUGUUAUCAUCUGAUGAAUCUUAUUUUGUAGAAAUUGAAGGUCAAGAGGAGGCUGAAUUCGAGAGAGAAGAGGCAGAAGAAAUCACUAAUGAGAUCAACGAAGAGAUUCUAUCUGGAAUCAGUAUGCAUGCAUUUGAAGGACAUAUGAGCCCAAGUACUAUCAGGCUAGAAGAAUCUAUAAAGAGUCAGGCAGUAAGUAUUUUGAUAGAUUCAAGCUCUACCCAUAAUUUUAUGUAGUUAGAAGUGGCAAUAGAUCUCCAACUGACCAUCCAUGCUAUUCAAUCCUUUAAUGUUUCCACUAGUGGAGGAGAGAAAUUGAUCUAUAAUAGAAUAUGUAAGGCUGUGAGGAUGAAGAUACAGGGAAUAGAGGUUUCUGUGGACUUGUUUCUAAUUCCAAUGUCUGGCUCAAAUGUGAUAUUGGGGAUUCAGUGGUUGAAGAAAGUGGGGGAUAUUUUAUCUAAUGAUGAAAAGCUCACCAUGAGGUUUAAAUUAAAUGGCAUGGAGGUAUUGUAGCAAGGUUUAUCAUGGUUAUCCCAAGAUCCAAUGAGUUCGGGAGAAUUAAAGAGUUUAGUGGGUGAGACCAAAGAAGCCUUCUCAUGUUAUUUUGAGAUAGCAGAAAAAAAUAAAAAUUCAGAAAAUUUGAAGGUCAGUAAUCCCAAAAUUCAUGAAGUGGUAGCAAAUUUCAGUGAUAUUUUUGUAGACCCAACAAGACUUCCACCACACAGAGAAAAGGAUCAUAUGAUUCAUUUGAUCCCAGGGGAAAAACCAGUGAAUGUUAGGCCUUACAAAUACCCACAAUUUCAAAAAAAUGAAAUUGAGAAGCUUAUUUCUGAAAUGUUAAAAUAGGAAACUAUCAAACUAAGCUCUAGCCCUUACUCUUCUCCAGUAUUAUUGAUAAAAAAGAAAGAUCGGGAUUACAAGAUGUGUGUAGAUUAUAGGGCACUUAAUGCAUUGACGAUUAAGGAUAAAUUCCCUAUCCUGACAGUGGAUGAGUUAUUAGGAGAACUCAAGGGUGCUACUAUAGGUUUAGUACGUAGGGUAAAGUAUAUCUUCCAUUGAGACAUGUUGUAUUAAUAGGAUAUCAGUUGUCCCUUGGGGCCGGGCCUCAAUGUUAAUGGGUCGUUAGGCGGGCCGGUCUGGGCCAGAGCCAGGUUGGAUCUGGGUACGUUCCUGGUCCCUCGUGUCGGGUCGAUUGAUAUGUAUCGGGCCGUAUCGGAUCAUGGGGUGUUCUUGGGCUCUGCCUCCGUUGCUUGUGACGGUAUCUCUGAUUCCUCCUUCUUUCUAGAGAUUCCUUGGAUCAAGAUCGCCGCCUACGGUCCCUUCUCCUAUCCCUUCUGACGAUGGGAGAUCAGGAUGUGUUGUAAGAUCGGUACAUCAUGAGGACAUCUGGUCAUGAGCCCCUCGUCCUUUAUAACAAUGCCGAUCAGGCAAGAUCUUUCCCAAGGUCUUUAAUUACCUUCGGCGUUCGUUGCUCUUCCUUAUUUUCACCAAUUCUCAAGGAGCUCAUUCCUUACCGGAUCUCGGCAUCUCGUAUUGCCUUUCUGUUGCUCGCCAUCAAAAUGUUGCGUAUGUGCUCACGUCGGGUUCACCACUGAUGACGUAUGGCCGAAAAGUGGACCUAUACAAUCGGGUUAUGGUUUCUCAUUCUCUCUCACUUUGUAGUCUAGGUUUAGUAGGUAGGGUAAAGUAUAUCUUCCAUUGAUACAUGUUGUAUUAAUAUCUCUAAGUUGUCCCUUGGUGCCGGGCCUCAAUGUUAAUGUGUCGUCAGGCGGGCCGGGCCUAGGCCAGAGCCGGGUUGGAUCUGGGGACGUUCUUGGUCCUUCGUGUCGGGUCGUUCAGUAUGUAUCGGGCUGUAUCGGAUCAUGGGGUGUUCUUGGGUUCUCGUAAUAGGCCGGGUCUACUGAUGUUAUUUCUAGAACAUUCUAGUGGGCCAAGAGUAUCAUCAGUUACGAUUAAAGUUCUUCCUAGUUCUCAAAUAGUGAGAGCGAUCUCACAUUAAACUGACCCUAAUAUUUAAAUCUUCACUUUUAAAAAUGAAAACAUAUAUCCAAUUUCGUAUUUUUUUUAUAAAACUUUAAUUAAUAUUUAAUUUUAAAAAUCAAAUUUUUUAUUGUAUUCAAAUACUUGGUAAUUAUUUGAAAUAACAUUGCACAAUUAUUCAUCUGUCAUCACAAAAAAAAAUCAAAUCAAUAUAGGCAAUACAUGAUUGAUAAUUAUAAGAUUCUUAUGACAUUAUUGUGAUGGUGCCCUAAUCAGAGAACUCGUCUUGAAGGUACUUUACAACGUCUUUGUCAAGACUGAAUGCCUUUGUUAGAACAUUGACGUCGAUGGGAGGUUUGGAUCCGAGCAAAGCAUCUGCAAUAGUGAUGACACCUGGAUUCUGGCUACUGAGUCCGGCGAUUGCCACGACAGGAUCAUUUCCGAGGUUUAUUUGAAAGUGGAUGAGACCGAUAGGGAAGGUGAAGACAUCACCCUUUUUGAGAACUUUGGAGAUAAAUCGGUUUUCUGGGUUGGAGGUGACAAAUCCCACUCCCAAUGUCCCCUCGAGCACAGUUAGGAGCUCGGUCGUACGAGGAUGGGUGUGAGGAGGAUUCAAGCCCCCAGGUUGAAAGUCGAUGCGAACUAGGGAGAUUCCAAGAGUGUUAAGACCAGGGAUCUGUGCAACAUUCACUGGUGUAACAAUUGACCCGACCCGACUUUUGCUGUUAUUUGCCUUGUCGAGACCAGAGAAGAAGAAGUCUUUCUCAGUGACGUACUU
rnacentral:lncRNA from 1 species